GACGAACGCUGGCGGCGUGCCUAAUACAUGCAAGUCGAACGCAGUGGGGACGGGUGAGUAACACGUGGGUAACCUCCCAUCAGAGGGGAUAACACUUGGAAACAGGUGCUAAACCGAUAUUGGUGGCUUGACCCUGGGUGCAUUAGCUAGGUGUUGUGGUAACGGCUCACCAAGGCCACGAUGCAUAGCCGAGCGGAGAGGGUGAGCGGCCACACGGGGACUGAGACACGGCCCAGAAUCCUACGGGAGGCAGCAGUAGGGAAUCGUAGGCAAGGGAAGAAAGUCUGACCGAGAAACGCCGCGUGAGUGAAGAAGGUUUUCGGAUCGUAAAACUCUGUUGUUAGAGAAGCGGUAUUUAACCAGAAAGCCACGGCUAACUACGUGCCAGCAGCCGCGGUAAUUC
rnacentral:rRNA from 1 species